rnacentral:rRNA from 1 species
GAUGAACGCUAGCGGCAGGCUUAAUACAUGCAAGUCGAGGGGUAGCAAGAUUGUAGCAAUACAAUUGUUGACGACCGGCAAACGGGUGCGGAACACGUACACAACCUUCCUACAAGUGGGGAAUAGCCCAGAGAAAUUUGGAUUAAUACCCCGUAACAUAGCGAUGUGGCAUCACAUUGCUAUAUAGCUUCGGCGCUUGUUGAUGGGUGUGCGGCUGAUUAGAUAGUUGGCGGGGUAACGGCCCACCAAGUCUACGAUCAGUAGCUGACGUGAGAGCAUGAUCAGCCACACGGGCACUGAGACACGGGCCCGACUCCUACGGGAGGCAGCAGUAAGGAAUAUUGGACAAUGGACGCAAGUCUGAUCCAGCCAUGCCGCGUGAAGGAUUAAGGUCCUCUGGAUUGUAAACUUCUUUUAUAAGGGACGAAAAAAGGUCUUUCUAGAUCGUCUGACGGUACCUUAUGAAUAAGCACCGGCUAACUACGUGCCAGCAGCCGCCGUAAGAC